AUUAAAACAGACAAAGGUUUAUAAAACAGCAGGACGUUCAGUGCCUAUGUUCCCAGGCCUAUUUUCUUUACGGGUCAUCUGUCUGUCUGUGACCCUGGUAUCCCUAGUUGGUCAUUAGGGUAUAUAUAUUGCUAUGGUGUGCUUUCAUGGGACAGCAGAGUUUCAUAAACAGUUGUAUUUCUUCUCUUGCAUCUUCUGUGGUGUCUUCUUUCUUCCUAGUUUCAUUGUGGAGACUUGAUUCAGCAUGCUGAAUUUUUUUUCUCUCAUUUUGUCUGUCAUAGUUGAAGUGUACCUAUGAUGAAAAUUUCAGGCCUCUCUCAUCUUUUUAUGUGGGAGAACUUGCACAAUUGGUGGCUGACUAAAUACUUUUUUGCUUCACUGUACAUCAGAUAUUGUAUAUGCCAGUCAUUAAGUUGUUUGUUACAAUGCCUCACACACACAGCUUUAAUGCAGAACAUCACUUAUGUCACACAGUGGAACGCUUCGGCAUAUCGACAAGGGACGCUGAUAUUCCCUGUGCUAUUGAUACCUGUCACUGUUAGUCAGUGUCACUGUUAGUCGGUCUUUAUACAGCAGUUUAGUAGAGCCUCCAGCCUGAAAGGCUACCACAGAGCUUUGCCCAUUGAUUGGAGCGACCGGGCGGGUAUUUGAGCUUAACCAAAUAAUGCCCGCUGGCAGUCCUUCCAAACAGCUGCGACCCCAUUGAUUUUCACUGGAUGUCAUGUGGGCUGAAGGGCAAGGCUUUGCCCCUACGGAGCUCCAUUCACAAAGUACUACUGUAACGGUGACACAAUGAUUAGAAUGUGUGCUGCUCUGCCUACUGUUUCAAUGGUAUUAUUAGACAAGACCCUGCAAUAUUCUAGUGUAGCCAAGGAGUGCCUCUUACUGCUUCUCUCUCUGUGUGUGUGUGUGUGUGUGUGUGUGUGUGUGUGUGUGACCUUCCCAGGAUUUUUGUUGUCUAUCCACUCCCCUCUCCCUCUAUUUUUUCUCUCUCUCUCUCUCUCUUCUUCUCCUGGCUCCUUAUCAAUCUUUCUCCCACUUCUCCUCCUCAGUCUCUCUCUCUAUCUCUCUCUCUUCUUCUUCUCCUGGCUCCUUAUCAAUCUUUCUCCCACUUCUCCUCAGUCUCUCUCUCUCUCUUCUUCUCCUGGCUCCUUAUCAAUCUUUCUCCCACUUAUCCUCAGUCUCUCUCUCUCUCUCUUCUUCUCCUGGCUCCUUAUCAAUCUUUCUCCCACUUAUCCUCCUCAGUCUCUCUCUCUCUCUCUCUCCUUCUCCUGGCUCCUUAUCAAUCUUUCUCCCACUUCUCCUCCUCAGUCUCUCUCUCUCUUCUUCUUCUCCUGGCUACUUAUCAAUCUUUCUCCCACUUCUCCUCCUCAGUUUCUCUCUCUCUCUCCUUCUCCUGGCUCCUUAUCAAUCUUUCUCCCACUUCUCCUCCUCAGUCUCUCUCUCUCUCUCUCUUCUUCUCUUGGCUCCUUAUCAAUCUUUCUCCCACUUCUCCUCCUCAGUCUCUCUCUCUCUUCUUCUUCUCCUGGCUACUUAUCAAUCUUUCUCCCACUUCUCCUCCUCAGUUUCUCUCUCUCUCUCCUUCUCCUGGCUCCUUAUCAAUCUUUCUCCCACUUCUCCUCCUCAGUCUCUCUCUCUCUCUCUCUCUCUUCUUCUCUUGGCUCCUUAUCAGUCUUUCUCCCACUUCUCCUCCUCAGUCUCUCUCUCUCUCUCUUCUUCUCCUGGCUCCUUAUCAAUCUUUCUCCCACUUCUCCUCCUCAGUCUCUCUUAAAUCCUUGUUGUCACUGGCUCUUACACCUAUACUUCUCUUUUUUCCCAAUGUCUCUCUCUCUUGAUGUUUCUCUCACACAGUGCUGCAUGUCUGUCUCUCUGAAUGUUUAAAUUUUUCUGUCUGUUAAUCAUUUAGAGUUCAGGUAGGUGUUCAGGUAGGUCUAGGCUUGUUCAUCAUUUGGAGUUCAGGUAGGUCUAGGCUAGUUAAUUAUUUGGAGUUCAGGUAGGUCUAGGCUAGUUCAUCAUUUGGAGUUCAGGUAGGUGUUCAGGUAGGUCUAGGCUAGUUAAUAAUUUUGAGUUCAGGUAGGUCUAGGCUAGUUAAUAAUUUGGAGUUCAGGUAGGUCUAGGCUAGUUAAUUAUUUGGAGUUCAGGUAGGUGUUCAGGUAGGUCUAGGCUAGUUAAUCAUUUGGAGUUCAGGUAGGUCUAGGCUAGUUCAUCAUUUGGAGUUCAGGUAGGUGUUCAGGUAGGUCUAGGCUAGUUAAUCAUUUGGAGUUCAGGUAGGUCUAGGCUAGUUAAUCAUUUGGAGUUCAGGUAGGUCUAGGCUAGUUAAUCAUUUUGAGUUCAGGUAGGUCUAGGCUAGUUAAUCAUUUAGAGUUCAGGUAGGUCUAGGCUUGUUCAUCAUUUGGAGUUCAGGUAGGUCUAAGCUAGUUAAUUAUUUGGAGUUCAGGUAGGUGUUCAGGUAGGUCUAGGCUUGUUCAUCAUUUGGAGUUCAGGUACGUCUAGGCUAGUUCAUCAUUUGGAGUUCAGGUAGGUGUUCAGGUAGGUCUAGGCUAGUUAAUCAUUUUGAGUUCAGGUAGGUCUAGGCUAGUUAAUCAUUUGGAGUUCAGGUAGGUCUAGGCUAGUUAAUCAUUUGGAGUUCAGGUAGGUCUAGGCUAGUUAAUCAUUUGGAGUUCAGGUAGGUCUAGGCUAGUUAAUCAUGUGGAAUUCAGGUACAGUAGCAAACUAAGGAAAGUAGGAGGGGUAAGACUACAUCUCUCUCCAUCUUCUCAUCUCUCUC